AGGGAUCAAACGCACAUCCUCGUGGAUCCUAGCCGGGUUCUUCACCCGCUGAGCCACGAUGGGAGCUCCGCAGAGCACUGUACCUCAGAUGCGUGUUUAACCCAGUCCAUCCCAGCAGGUGGCGGUGAAGUGUCUGUGGGCCUGAAUUCCCUAGGGCAUGAUGGCAGGAGGAAUCGGGGCGCCUUUGGGGGGUGCUAAAUGUGGAAGAAGAACCGCACAGCGCUCAGCAGACACCCACCUCCACUUCUGCAUGCACGGCCAGUGGGUGGCCACACCCUCCAAGAUCACAGGUCUCCCUGGAACCAGAAAAUGCUCCCUGAAAUACUGGAGGGAGGGACGGUGGAGCCGGGGCACUGCUCUCUCGGACCCCACAUCUGGAAUCGAAACAUGGUCACUCCGUGCUUUCUGUCCAAAAUCAAAACGAGACGGUGACAACCGCAGAAAGGCCACAUGCGAGGCCUCCCACUGCAGGUGGCAUCAGUGGUAGGAGAGCUGUGUCACUGGUAACAACAGUGAACAUUUAUUAUCAGUAUUGCUGCAGCUACUACGCAUGUCUCACGAAACCAAGAUGUUUUUUUCUCUGCUAGUUCAUUUUAAAAUGUUUGGUAACUAUAAAACUAAUACAUUGCUCUCAUAGAGGAAAACGUACUAGCCCAAAUUCCACCAACUACCAUAAAAGGAUUCCGGAGUUCCCGUGGUGGCGCAGUGGUUAACGAAUCCGACUAGGAACUAUGAGGUUGCGGGUUCAAUCCCUGACCUCGCUCAGUGGGUUAAGGAUCCGGCGUUGCCACAAGCUGUGGUGUAGGUAGCAGACGCAGCUCAGAUCCCACCUUGCUGUGGCUCUGACGUAGGCUGGUGGCUACAGCUCCGAUUGGACCCCCAGGCUGGGAACCUCCACAUGCCGCAGGUGUGGCCCCAGGAAAAGACCAAAAAACAAAAAAACAAAAAACCAACACAAAACAUAAAAGGAUUCUUCUCACUACUGUCUGUUCUUUUUCCAUUUGCUCCACACACAACACCUCUCUGGUCUAUUGGUGGUAAAAUUUAUAAUGAAUAAGCAACUCUGUCUCUUCUGUCCGAUAAUUUCCUCUAAAGCAGCUUCCAUGAUGCCACCAGUCCCUGCAUCGUCCCUUCCUCAACCAUCUCCCAGCUGAGUGACAGGAACAAGCCACAGUCUCCAAGCCUCAGUUUCCUCCCGGGUUAAACUAUGUGGAGACGAGAUCUUGCAUAUCUGGCACCCAGGGCUGCAGCGGGCAAUGCACCAGGCUUUUUUUCUUGCCUUUUCUUUUCUCGCUGUCCCAACUCUCCACAGUAGGCUCUCAUUUGCCCACCUUCCCUAUCUGCCCUCCUCAAACUGGCCUUCCCUGACCACCCUGCGUGAAGUAGACCCCCCACCCCCCCGCCCCGGCUUUCUCACCCUUGGGGAGAAGAUACUCUUUUCCAGCCUUGCUAGAAGGUCAGCUCCAGGAGGACAGGUGCCUCCUGCUGGGGCUCAAUAAAGCGCUGAGUAAGUCCCCUUCCCAGUGCGGGGGGUGAUGGUGGCAGGGAACAGACGUGGCACCGAACAGCCACAACACAGCUCGACCCACAGGCGGUGGGCACAGGACUGUGAACCCAGACAGGGGCAUCCAGAGCCCGAGCUCUCAUCCCCUUAACUACAUACGCCGCCCCAGACCACAGGCAGCACCUUGGCCACGAAGCCACAGCUGUAUCCCCUGGGGACAGCCUUGGCCUGGGAAAGGGUGGGUGCAAAGCCUGGGGCCAGAGGGACAGGUAUUUGUCCCUGGAUCUGCAAUGUCUGCCCUCUGAGAGGUCCACCAACACCCCCACGCCCUUGGCCUCAGGGCGCCCUUGGUGACCCUGGGUGUUGUCUAAAACCUCACUGGAGAGGUUCAGGGCCAAGAAUGGCUGCCUCACUGUUUUUGCAUUUUUUUUUUUUUUUUUUUAAUGCCAGAGGUGAGGUCACACAUCUUCCCACGUGUGUGUUUAACAGAUUGGAUCUCCUCCUUGUAAACAGUCUGUUUGUGUAUCUGGUCUCUCUCCUGGGGCCCAGGGCCUGUGCCCCCCCUGCCCUCAGUGAUUUGUAUAAUUCUUGGAUACCAGAGGUAUAUUUGUCCUCUGAUAGCUCUGCUGCAAACAUCUCUGCUGCAAACGUCUCUGCCCUGUUUGGAGGGUGGACCUUUGAUUUCGCUUCCAUGCGUGGUGUGUUUAAUGACACUCCUUGGCAUUAUUCUUACAGAAAAAUAAUACUCAUUGUAGGGAACCGUGAACACAAGAAAAUAUGUAGGAAAACGUGUCAACAAACACCCCAUAACUCCGCUACCCAGUGUCCAGUACAGAUGUGCCCCUGUUCUCGGCACCCUAAUUGCCAUCUUACAGAUGAGGAAACUGAGGCUCAGAGGCGGUAACCGACUCGCCCAGAGGUACCGGGAGUGGGGUCUGCGUGUCAGCACUCGGAUCUGAAGCCUGAGUAAGUCCUCUUGGCCUCUACGGGUUAUUCUUUGGUGGCACACGCACUUAGAGGCCAGUUAGGACACAGGCGAGGACCUAAUGGGCAGGACCCGUGGUCACGUGAGUGGCGGCAUCGCAUCCAAACUCAGAGGCACAGAGACAAAGAGGCAGCUGGAGAGGUGGGUGACACUUCGACCCAGGGACCAGCAAGAAGCUGAAAGGGAAGGGCCCCCUGGCAGCCAGGGCGCUCGUCUGCACAACCCCCAGGGGCCCCUUCUCUCAGGAACCACAAAGCUCCCACCCUCCCGCUCUCCCUACAGGGAACCGCUUUUGCACAAACCGGAAAGAAAAAAAAAAAAAAAAAAAAAAAAAAAAAAA
ensembl:lncRNA